UACGAAGGGGGCUAGCGUUGUUCGGAUUUACUGGGCGUAAAGCGCACGUAGGCGGAUUGUUAAGUCAGGGGUGAAAUCCUGGAGCUCAACUCCAGAACUGCCUUUGAUACUGGCAAUCUAGAGUCCGGAAGAGGUGAGUGGAACUCCUAGUGUAGAGGUGGAAUUCGUAGAUAUUAGGAAGAACACCAGUGGCGAAGGCGGCUCACUGGCCCAUUACUGACGCUGAGGCACGAAAGCGUGGGGAGCAAACAGG
rnacentral:rRNA from 1 species